rnacentral:tRNA from 1 species
CGCUGUGGAAUGACUGGUGUCAUAGACUUAUUGCAAAUAAGUCUUUAAGGGUUCAAUUCCCUACAUAGUGU